rnacentral:rRNA from 1 species
GAUUUCUGCUCAGGAUGAACGCUGGCGGCGUGCUUAACACAUGCAAGUCGAACGAUGAAGCCCAGCUUGCUGGGUGGAUUAGUGGCGAACGGGUGAGUAACACGUGAGUAACCUGCCCUUAACUCUGGGAUAAGCCUGGGAAACUGGGUCUAAUACCGGAUAGGAGCGUCGACCGCAUGGUGGGUGUUGGAAAGAUUUAUCGGUUUUGGAUGGACUCGCGGCCUAUCAGCUUGUUGGUGAGGUAAUGGCUCACCAAGGCGACGACGGGUAGCCGGCCUGAGAGGGUGACCGGCCACACUGGGACUGAGACACGGCCCAGACUCCUACGGGAGGCAGCAGUGGGGAAUAUUGCACAAUGGGCGCAAGCCUGAUGCAGCGACGCCGCGUGAGGGAUGACGGCCUUCGGGUUGUAAACCUCUUUCAGUAGGGAAGAAGCGAAAGUGACGGUACCUGCAGAAGAAGCACCGGCUAACUACGUGCCAGCAGCCGCGGUAAUACGUAGGGUGCGAGCGUUAUCCGGAAUUAUUGGGCGUAAAGAGCUCGUAGGCGGUUUGUCGCGUCUGUCGUGAAAGUCCGGGGCUUAACCCCGGAUCUGCGGUGGGUACGGGCAGACUAGAGUGCAGUAGGGGAGACUGGAAUUCCUGGUGUAGCGGUGGAAUGCGCAGAUAUCAGGAGGAACACCGAUGGCGAAGGCAGGUCUCUGGGCUGUAACUGACGCUGAGGAGCGAAAGCAUGGGGAGCGAACAGGAUUAGAUACCCUGGUAGUCCAUGCCGUAAACGUUGGGCACUAGGUGUGGGGACCAUUCCACGGUUUCCGCGCCGCAGCUAACGCAUUAAGUGCCCCGC